UACGUAGGGUGCGAGCGUUAAUCGGAAUUACUGGGCGUAAAGCGCGCAGGCGGCUUUGCAAGACAGAUGUGAAAUCCCCGGGCUCAACCUGGGAACUGCAUUUGUGACUGCAAGGCUAGAGUACGGCAGAGGGGGAUGGAAUUCCGCGUGUAGCAGUGAAAUGCGUAGAUAUGCGGAGGAACACCAAUGGCGAAGGCAAUCCCCUGGGCCUGUACUGACGCUCAUGCACGAAAGCGUGGGGAGCAAACAGG
rnacentral:rRNA from 1 species